UGCGUAGGCGGACUAAUAAGUCAGUGGUGAAAUCUAUCGGCUCAACCGAGAAACUGCCAUUGAUACUGUUAGUCUUGAGUUCGGUUGAGGUAGGCGGAAUGUGUAAUGUAGCGGUGAAAUGCUUAGAUAUUACACAGAACACCAAUUGCGUAGGCAGCUUACUAGACCGACACUGACGCUGAGGCACGAAAGCGUGGGGAGCGAACAGGAUUAGAUACCCUGGUAGUCC
rnacentral:rRNA from 1 species